AACAGGAUUAGAUACCCUGGUAGUCCACGCUGUAAACGAUGUCGACUUGGAGGUUGUGCCCUUGAGGCGUGGCUUCCGGAGCUAACGCGUUAAGUCGACCGCCUGGGGAGUACGGCCGCAAGGUUAAAACUCAAAUGAAUUGACGGGGGCCCGCACAAGCGGUGGAGCAUGUGGUUUAAUUCGAUGCAACGCGAAGAACCUUACCCACUCUUGACAUCCAGAGAAUUUGCUAGAGAUAGCUUAGUGCCUUCGGGAACUCUGAGACAGGUGCUGCAUGGCUGUCGUCAGCUCGUGUUGUGAAAUGUUGGGUUAAGUCCCGCAACGAGCGCAACCCUUAUCCUUUGUUGCCAGCGGUUCGGCCGGGAACUCAAAGGAGACUGCCAGUGAUAAACUGGAGGAAGGUGGGGAUGACGUCAAGUCAUCAUGGCCCUUACGAGUAGGGCUACACACGUGCUACAAUGGCAUAUACAAAGAGAAGCGACCUCGCGAGAGCAAGCGGACCUCAUAAAGUAUGUCGUAGUCCGGAUUGGAGUCUGCAACUCGACUCCAUGAAGUCGGAAUCGCUAGUAAUCGUGGAUCAGAAUGCCACGGUGAAUACGUUCCCGGGCCUUGUACACACCGCCCGUCACACCAUGGGAGUGGGUUGCAAAAGAAGUAGGUAGCUUAACCUUCGGGAGGGCGCUUACCACUUUGUGAUUCAUGACUGGGGUGAAGUCGUAACAAGGUAACC
rnacentral:rRNA from 1 species